CUCUCCGCGCUCCCUCACACACACUCACACAAACUACAGAAGACUGAUGAGUGACAGAGCUUCACAGUAGCAGUGAACGCUGCGCUGGAGAGGAGGGGUGACGGGGAGCUGUCUACUGUACACUACAGUAAUGAGAUUAUUUAACUCCUAAAGCUUCUUCUAAAUAGUAGUAGUUGCGCUCUUUCUCGCACGCCGCACCACAUGUGCUCCUGUGUGCGCGGUCGAGGAGGACUCGUCGGCUCGCCCGUUCGGCUCGACUCCUGCCAGGAAAAGCGCAGCCUUUAAUGACAUUAUUUUUGGAAAGAAACUGCUUGUUGGAACCUCUCUCGCCCUUUGCGCACAUGACUUUUCUGAAGCAACAGAGGUGGACGGAGGUUACAUUUGUUGUCGUUUGCUACUUCUAGGGCUGAACUUUUAUUGAACGUGGUUGAGCGAAACAUGGAGAACCACACGGACUCGCAGAGCUGCACAGAGGACGUCCGUAAAAGCGGGUACCUCCGCAAGCAGAAAUCCAUGCACCGGCGGUACUUCGUGCUGCGGACGGCUUCGGAGCGCGGCCCGGCCCGGCUUGAGUACUACGAGAGUGAGAAGAAAUUCAGAGGUAAAGCGCCCGUGCCUAAAAAGGCUUUGGCGCUGGAGACGUGCUUCAACAUCAACAAACGGGCCGACUCGAAGAAUAAACACAUGAUAGUGCUCUACACACGGGCUGAGAGUUUCGUGGUGGCGGCGGAGAACGAGACGGACCAGGAAGAAUGGUUCCAGGCGAUGGUGGAACUUCAAUGCAAGAGUAAAGCACUCUGUGACAGUGCGAAUGGGGGUGAUUAUGGAGUCCCAUCUCCUGGUCCUGCCUUCAAGGAAGUCUGGCAAGUAAAAGUUUGGCCUAAAGGUCUGGGCCAAGCCAAGAACCUUGUUGGCAUCUACAGGCUCUGCCUGACUGAAAAGACAGUCAACUUUGUCAAGCUGAACUCCGACGCAGCCGCUGUUGUGCUCCAGCUGAUGAAUGUGAGGCGUUGUGGUCAUUCUGAAAACUUCUUCUUCGUGGAGGUGGGUCGCUCUGCAGUAACUGGCCCUGGAGAGUUUUGGAUGCAAGUGGAAGAUUCUGUGGUAGCGCAGAAUAUGCAUGAGACUCUGCUGGAAGCCAUGAAGGCCUUGAGUGAGGAGUUUCGCCAGCGUAGCAAGUCUCAGUCAGCUGCCGCUGGAGCAGGAGGUGGCACCACUGCAUCAAACCCUAUUAGUGUUCCAUCUCGACGGCAUCACCCCAAUCCUCCACCCAGUCAGGUUGGAUUCACAAGACGACCACGGACCGAACCACCAGGGACUACUGGAGGAUGUAAUAGCACCUCUCCAACUUCUCGGCACAGCUUUCCCCGAGCUCGAACAUCGAGUGAUGGUGGAAAAGUUGAUGAUGGAGGUGGUGCAACAACUGGAGGGAUUGCAUCAUGCUCAAGUCCCACGACUAAUGGGUCAUGUUCCAGUACCCCUAUACUGAGAUCAACAUCUGUUCGUGCUCCAACCCCUGUCAAAGCACAGCAUGCGUUAAUGAGAUCCACCUCAACCCCUGCUGCUCCAGCUGCACCAAGCAUCCCUUCUUGCUCAGGACAUGGAUCUGAGUUUUGUGCAGUAGGAACUGGGACAAACAACAGUGGUGCUGGUGGUAAUGGUAACAUGUACAGUCGAAUACCUCUCCGACAGCCCUCUGUCUCUGGUUCUUUAAGUGACUACGGUUCCUCAGAUGAAUACGGCUCCAGCCCUGGAGAGCAUUCUCUGCUAACCCCAACAAUGCAGGCAGGGUCUGCAGGUAGCUCAGGUGGUCAUUCUGUUGGGGACGAAGCAUCCAACUACAUCCUAAUGAGUCAGAAAGGAGCAUCCAAACCUCAGCCAGGCCAAAAUGCUUUGCAUCAAACUAGGAGAGUUCUGAGGCGCUCCUCUAGCAGAGAAUGUGAAGCGGAGCGCAGGAUAAUGAGUAAGCGGGCCUCCCUGCCACCCAUGGCCUUAGAGAGACUUGCACCGCACCGUCGAGCUGGGGAUGAACCUGUUGAAGAAGAUGACUAUGCAAUUAUGACUCACACCACCAGCCGAGAAUCCUUUGGAUCAAGACAUGAUUCUGGAGUGGCAGCAAGUGCAACAGGAUACUUGGAAGUAGCUGCAGAGCUUAAAGGUGAUGCUGGUAGCGGUGAAACGGGUGUCUCUGAUAUCAUUGGAGGUGCUAAUGGAGCAGUGGAUAAUGGCUACAUGUCCAUGUUGCCAGGAGUUACAGCUCCCCCAGUAUCCCUUUCUCAUUCCCUCUCAGUAACAGUUUCAGAUCAAGACUCAAAAUCUGCUGAUGAUUACAUGGCCAUGACCCCCAAUAAUAGCAUUUCACCUCCACGACAGAUCCGUUCACCACCUUCUGGCACAGAUGGCUACAUGAUGAUGUCUCCCAAUAGUAGUUGUUCACCAGACCAACGUGGGGUCCCUACUGCCUGGGUUGGCAGCAGCAGUGCUGACAGCCGAACUGGCAGCGACUACAUGAAUAUGUCACCUAUCAGUGCCCGUUCUGCCAACAGUACCCCGCCACCAGCUGAGCCUCACACUCCAUCUGACCAGCACUCUCAGCAGCCUCCACCGAAGAUGGUAUAUUCUUACUACUCUCUACCGCGCUCCUACAAACAUAACUCUUCAACACACUUUGAGGAAGGACCAGGAAGAGGGAAGUAUUUGGUUAAUGGUGGUAGAGGUCUGGGAGGAGGUAGGGGGCUUGGUAAUAGCAAGUCCAAGCAUCAGGAACCUCCUGUUGGCCGACAUCUGUCUCUUUCAUCGUCCUCAUACUCUUCCAGUUCUGCGAGCAGCGAGAGCCUAGGUGAAGGUGAAGAAAAGGCUGUCAAAGUGGCAGGAAGAGCAGCAGGUACUGCCGGAAAGGAUGCUGAGCAAGGAUCCUUGCAGCAAAGGCAAGGGUCUGGAAGGUUAAAGCAAGGACAUCCUGGUCAGAGGGGCAGGCCUCUUAGCCUGUUUGUGGAUGUCUCUAAAGCCAACACCUUACCCAGAGUCCGUGAGACACCCCUUCCUCCUGAGCCUAAGAGCCCUGGGGAGUAUGUCAGUAUUGAGUUCAAGGGUGAGAGGAACCUAAAAGCAGGAGGUAAUGGAACCAGAGGAUUUCGGCAAGAUGCUUCUCUUCCACCCAGUACCCACCGCAACUUACCCAGGCCUACCUCUUGUGUCGCUGGGUUCUUGCCUUUCUCGCAUAGCUCCUCCACCCCCAUCUCUCCAUCAACUGCCUCCGAGUAUGUCAAUAUGGAGCUAGGAGUUUCACCAUCCCCUUCGCCCAUUUCUCUCACAUCACUUGGAUUUCCCUCAUUCCCCACCCCUCCUGUCACACCUGCCGCAGCCCCUAAAGCUCAUGAUGAGCACAGAUUGACGGUUCUAAAUGAUGAUGAUGCAGAGAAUGAGAUGGGACAUAGAAAAAGCAGGCAGGCAGGAGACUCACCCACAGCCUGUGGUGACUACACAAAGAUGGCCUUUAGCCUGAACUCAGGCAGCACAUUAAGUCCUACACCACCAAAACCCUCUUUGCCAGACCAGCCUGAGUCAGUAGUUCCAGCCCUAAGUUUGGGACUAGGACUAGACUUCCCGCUUGCCAAAGUCCCAAACCCAGAUCAUGGGGCUAAAGUAAUCCGAGCAGAUCCUCAAGGUCGUCGACGCCACUGCUCAGAAACGUUCCAAGCUCCUUCCUCGCUUGUUUCUUGCUCUGCAACAUCAUCUUCCUCUGCAUUCCCUGAUCACGCCCAAGUUGUGGCCCGUCGGCUUGGUUUUGAGGGUAUGCUUUGGGGAAACAGUGGCUCAGCAGACAUCUCAUCUCAGUACGUCAACCCUGGACUACCCAGCCUAUCUGUUUCACAGACAUCCUCCAUGGAACAGGGCCUCAAUUACAUAGACUUGGAUCUGGCUAACAAGGAAAGCUCCCAUACUGCCACAGAUGGGCAAGCAGCUGUCCACACACCUGUCGCUCGUAUCUUUUCCUCUGUCCUGGGUGGAGGAGCAGCUGGGAGCUCUCUAGGAACUGGAGGUUCAGGCGGUAGUGCUUCAAACCUCAACAUGUACGCUAGCAUUGACUUCUACAAGUCAGAGGAGCUACGGACACACCAAGGUAGCAGCAGCAGCAAAGAUGGUACAGAUUUGAUGCCUGGUUUUAAACCAAAUGAUAAGAUUAUCACAGAGUUGGACUGAAUACUACAGAAAGAACACAGAAAGAUGCGGGCUUAUUUUGCAGCAGCGAGUGGUCUCUUUGUGUUCUGGUUGGAACGACUUGUUCUGGAGAGACUAAAUAUAGCUGUGCGCAGUGAGGAGCAGAGGUGGAGGGGGCAACCUUUUUACAAUUAGAGGCAAGACUAGAAAAUUGAGAGCAACAAGGAAAAGGAACAUUGGUCAAUUUUCAGGUCAUCAAUAAUAAUUUUGUUUACUUCCGUUUGUCAAAACAUGUCAUGUUUCUUAGUACAUCAUUUACUACUUAAUAUAGAAAUCACAUACUGUUCGAGUUGGCUGAUUUUUUUCUUUUUUUUGGUAGCAACAGUUAAGACAAGGAUUUGAGUUUGGAAGAUGAAUGUUGAUUCCGCAACAGUAUGGAAUUCUGGGAAACGGAACGCCGGCGCUCUCCCGUGCACCUGCAGAGCAGAAACACAGAGUAAGGUGUGUGCACAAAGCCCAGCAGACCUUGCAAGCACUUUCGAAAGACUUCUGCAGUGACUGGUUGCUGCAACCAGUGGGAAAAUGUGCCAAACGAGAAGAGCAACAACUGCCUGUGCUCUCCAGACUCUCAAAAGACAAGCACACUAACCAAUCAGUGGUGGAGAAUGAAGACAAUGGAGCUAAUGACAAUGACCUUUGACCUUCAACAGAAACUUGAACAGCUAAUGUCCAGUAUUCACAAAAAGGACUGAAUGAUUCACAAUUGUUGAACAUAUUAUGUGUACACAAAAAGUGCCUCGUUUUGAUUGUCGCUUUCUGAAUAUAGACUUUGAAUUGUUCAGGCAUUGACUGGCGUGCUUGAAAAAAGUAAUUCUUUUAUGUAAAAAACGUAACUGGUACAGAAGGUAAAAUCGUCAGGUUGUGACUGUAUCAGAAACGCUGAUGGUACUGCUUCCGAUGAUAAUGUUGAAGAUAAAGUAAUUAUGAAUCUCACAUGGUGUUCAUCAUUGUGUUUAGCUAACCUAGCAUCACACAGAUGUGUUGACUGACUAGUUCGUCCUCCCCGUUCCUAGUGUCGUUCUCCACCCCCUUCGCCCCAUGCGUGACAUGUUCAAGCCUUGCGUUAGUACUUAAGUGCCUGUCUCUUUUCAGCCUAUCGUCCUUCUGCUCUCUUCACAGUAGCGUCCUGAAAGGAACCAGUAACAGACAUUUGGCUCAGUGACAUCUAAGCAUCUAUUUUUACUCUAUGGGUGGGGUGCUUCUGUGAUGGUGUCCUGCGGUAGCUUACCUCCACUGGCACGCAAGGAUGCUAGCUGACCCAAUCCACACUGGACUGUACCAAUGAUAGUCCAGAAUGGGGGUGUGUAUAGGAUAUAAUUUGGAAUUCGUCCCCACACGCUGUAUCACAGUGACACCCAUUGCUGGCCAACAGUGGUAAAAUAAAAAUAGGAGUGUUAAAAACA